GAAAGGAACAAAUACAUAGACAGUUGAAACCAGGGCAGCUGACCUGGGAAGAUGAAAUAUGACUGUGUUGGGAUGAGGUGAGGAAGGCCAAGGCGAAGCUGGAACUGAAGCUGGCAAGGGAUGCAAAGAAUAACUGGAAUGGUCUCUGCAGCUACGUUAACGAGAAAAGGAAGGUCAAAGAAGAUGUAUGCACCCUCCUUCAUAAACAGUGGAUGAGGAGAGGGCUGAGGUACUCAACAACUUUUUGCCUCAGUCUUCAAUGGCAAUCUCUCUUCCCACACCUUUUGAGUGGAUGGACAGCAGGAUGGGGACUAGGAGAGCAAAGUCACUAUAAGUGAAGAUCAGGUUCAUGACUACCUGAGGAACCUUAAUGCACAUAAGUCUGUGGGAUCUGAUGAGAUGCAUCCCAGAGUCCUGAGUGAAUUGGCUGAUGUAGUUGCCAAACCUCUCUCUAUAAUCUUUGAAAAGUCGUGGCUCUGAAGUUAAGUCCAAGAUGUGUACCUGGGGUUUGAAUGCUCCGAAGAAAGGAAGUCAUAAACUUCUGGUAGGUACUCUGGUCUCUGACUACAGACUUUUGAAGGACAGAAACUUCCUUUCUGGAAACAGAACUAAAAUUCAGCAUCAUGGAAGCACAACAGGCAAUGCCAUUAUCAAGGGAUUCCUAUGAACUUUUGCAACUCAUUUUGGGAUGCGUGGCACCUCCAAGUGACCCUCUCUUAAUAUAGCUUGUAGGAAAUUAUGACCUUCUUAAACUUCCUCUACCCUUGCCUGCAGAAAAGCUAUUAACUUGUACAGAAAGCAAGUAUUUAUAUCCAUAGUUGAGGAUUUUAAUACAGGCCUGUUAUUUCAGAGGUGAAUUAAAC